UCAAACUUGGUCAUUUAGAGGAAGUAAAAGUCGUAACAAGGUUUCCGUAGGUGAACCUGCGGAAGGAUCAUUACAGAAAUAAACUUGAUAGAUUGUUGCUGGCUCUAAAUAUCAGAGUACUGUGCACGUCUGUCAUUUUUAUCUUUCCACCAUGUGCACACUUGCAUAGGUCUGAUAAUCAAAGGUUUUCAACUUUUGAGGUUUUCAUUUGGGAAUUGCUGGUUAAACCCAGCUCUCUCCUUACUUUCAGGCUCUAUGAUUUUUUUCUAUAUACACCAUUGUAUGUUAAAGAACGUUAAUCAAAGGCAUCAGCCUAUAAACAUAAAUACAACUUUCAGCAACGGAUCUCUUGGCUCUCGCAUCGAUGAAGAACGCAGC
rnacentral:misc_RNA from 1 species